ACGAAAUAUUUCCGACAUUCGUGUCGGAAUAAAUCAUCUUACACCUGUGAAAAUACGAAUCUUUGCUUUGGCUUGGGUGAAAACUCGAGCCAAAAGAUCAAAACCUUACAAUUUUAACCUGAGUCUGAGAAAGAAAAGAAUAAAUUAUUCA
rnacentral:misc_RNA from 1 species